AAGGGAAAGUCCAACCAAAGACUUGACGUGAACUGUCAAGCACCAAGCACAUGCAUUCAAUCAGCUGCCAGAACUUCCGCUUGCUGAACUCUCGCCCUCUUUUCAUUUUAUUGACAUUUUCAAAAAUAAAUACAUAAAAAUAACCUCCCAGUAACACAGAAACAAGACACCCGUGUCAACACAACAUGGUCCAUUUGCUGCGCUCAGCAACAAGUUUCAAGAGAAAGUCCGGAAAUCCCAGCGAUCAUCCCUGCUAUUCAUGUGUUGAUAUUAUCAGAGGUUUAUAAAAAAAACAUGUCUGAUGAAUUAAAACAUGUGACUGGCCAACAGCAGCAGCCCAACUGACCACAGGGAAGGCCGCUAUUCCCAAUUUACUCAAAGGACACAAGACAUGAGGAAGACCAUGUAAUUUACCUCAUCUGGCCAUCAGUGGAGCAUGAUCCCAAACCCACAUCUGGAGCUAACACCCUAGGAGCCAGUCAAUGAAAGUAAUUAUGUGUCUGACCUCAAACAAAUAGUAGGAACUCACUGUUUAAAAAUUAGUUCUUUCUCUUGUUCUCUUAUCAUGGAAAUAAAGUAUAACAAGAUUUAUCCACGGGCAGGCUGAAUGCAGUUAUUUCUGUAGACAAGAUAAAGCUUUGAGCCUUAACUGAUGUGUAAUAUUUAAAUAUGGUCAAAAAUCCAGUUGCUAUCCCAGAGCAACCUGAUAUCCUCCCUUUCUUCCUAUUUUCUCCCUCCCCCAAAAGUCCAAUUGUUCUGAGG